UCGGGAAUUUUGGGCAGUGGGCGAAAGCCUGACCCAGCAACGCCGCGUGAAGGAUGAAGUAUUUCGGUAUGUAAACUUCGAAAGAAUAGGAAGAAUAAAUGACGGUACUAUUUAUAAGGUCCGGCUAACUACGUGCCAGCAGCCGCGGUAAUACGUAGGGACCAAGCGUUGUUCGGAUUUACUGGGCGUAAAGGGCGCGUAGGCGGCAAUUCAAGUCAUCUGUGAAAUCUCCGGGCUUAACUCGGAACGGUCAGAUGAUACUGCUUUGCUAGAGUGCAGAAGGGGCAAUCGGAAUUCUUGGUGUAGCGGUGAAAUGCGUAGAUAUCAAGAGGAACACCUGAGGUGAAGACGGGUUGCUGGGCUGACACUGACGCUGAGGCGCGAAAGCCAGGGGAGCAAACGGGAUUAGAUACCCUGGUAGUCCCUGAGCGGGCUGGCAAGGCGCAU
rnacentral:rRNA from 1 species